UGCAAGUCGAACGAUGAUCCGGUGCUUGCACCGGGGAUUAGUGGCGAACGGGUGAGUAACACGUGAGUAACCUGCCCUUGACUCUGGGAUAAGCCUGGGAAACUGGGUCUAAUACCGGAUACGACCAUUCCGCGCAUGCGGUGGUGGUGGAAAGCUUUUGUGGUUUUGGAUGGACUCGCGGCCUAUCAGCUUGUUGGUGGGGUAAUGGCCUACCAAGGCGACGACGGGUAGCCGGCCUGAGAGGGUGACCGGCCACACUGGGACUGAGACACGGCCCAGACUCCUACGGGAGGCAGCAGUGGGGAAUAUUGCACAAUGGGCGCAAGCCUGAUGCAGCGACGCCGCGUGAGGGAUGACGGCCUUCGGGUUGUAAACCUCUUUCAGUAGGGAAGAAGCCGUAAGGUGACGGUACCUGCAGAAGAAGCGCCGGCUAACUACGUGCCAGCAGCCGCGGUAAUACGUAGGGCGCAAGCGUUAUCCGGAAUUAUUGGGCGUAAAGAGCUCGUAGGCGGUUUGUCGCGUCUGCUGUGAAAGACCGGGGCUCAACUCCGGUUCUGCAGUGGGUACGGGCAGACUAGAGUGAUGUAGGGGAGACUGGAAUUCCUGGUGUAGCGGUGAAAUGCGCAGAUAUCAGGAGGAACACCGAUGGCGAAGGCAGGUCUCUGGGCAUUAACUGACGCUGAGGAGCGAAAGCAUGGGGAGCGAACAGGAUUAGAUACCCUGGUAGUCCAUGCCGUAAACGUUGGGCACUAGGUGUGGGGGACAUUCCACGUUUUCCGCGCCGUAGCUAACGCAUUAAGUGCCCCGCCUGGGGAGUACGGCCGCAAGGCUAAAACUCAAAGGAAUUGACGGGGGCCCGCACAAGCGGCGGAGCAUGCGGAUUAAUUCGAUGCAACGCGAAGAACCUUACCAAGGCUUGACAUGGACCGGAAAGACCUGGAAACAGGUGCCCCGCUUGCGGCCGGUUUACAGGUGGUGCAUGGUUGUCGUCAGCUCGUGUCGUGAGAUGUUGGGUUAAGUCCCGCAACGAGCGCAACCCUCGUUCCAUGUUGCCAGCACGUUGUGGUGGGGACUCAUGGGAGACUGCCGGGGUCAACUCGGAGGAAGGUGGGGACGACGUCAAAUCAUCAUGCCCCUUAUGUCUUGGGCUUCACGCAUGCUACAAUGGCCGGUACAAAGGGUUGCGAUACUGUGAGGUGGAGCUAAUCCCAAAAAGCCGGUCUCAGUUCGGAUUGGGGUCUGCAACUCGACCCCAUGAAGUCGGAGUCGCUAGUAAUCGCAGAUCAGCAACGCUGCGGUGAAUACGUUCCCGGGCCUUGUACACACCGCCCGUCAAGUCACGAAAGUUGGUAACACCCGAAGCCGGUGGC
rnacentral:rRNA from 1 species